GAUAUACCAUUGGCAAUAUACCAUAGAAGAAGAUUCCGACACAACGGGGCCUGCAGGAGGACAGGUGACCCUGUACCUGCCUGAAGAAAGUGGGGGUAGGGGGUGCGUGCAGCUGGAAAACAAGACCAAGAUGCAUUGCUGGCGGUGGUGCUUCAUGGGACUUUCAUAGCAGGUUAGGAGAGAAUUUUCGCUAACCUGCUAUUUUAAUUCUCCUAACCUGCUGCAUUAAUUUGCCUAACCUUCUGCGUCAAUUCUCUUAAACUGGUACGAAAAAGUCACUUUGUGGCGUGAAGAGAGUCUUUCCCUGUGCUUCAACUGAAAGCUGAAAUAACCUUUUAGGUACCAGCAGAGCUUGGGUUUCUUGGCCAUGGGCAAGGACUGGCGUACCUACUGCAUGGCAUUGGAGACCUACGUAUCUCCAGCAGCUGGGAGCACACACCACGCUCAGCAAGAACAAAUGCCUGGAACACAUUAUUACCACCAAACACCCUUCUUCUCCAGCUGUUUAAUCCUAAUCUCUUCUCAAUGUUCUACCCUUUCCUUUUCAUGUUAUUGGUCAAAUCACCUCAAUGUGUUUGACUUGUCUGUUCUGGUGGGUUUUCACCAAUAAUCCCCUGUUGGAUUUAGAGUUACAACUUGCCAUUUCCUGUUGUAUUUCUUGUACUUCGUAACAUGGUAAACUUA